rnacentral:lncRNA from 1 species
GUGUGUGUGUGUGUGUGUGUGUGUGUGUGUGUGUGUGUGUGUGUGUGUGUGUGUGUGUGUGUGUGUUGGACAGCGUGUAUGUGUGUUUUGCCGCGUUCACGUCAUGUCGGUAAAACUCGGGGACCUGCGAGUUAAAAUUAACAUAAGUUAUUUGUGUAAAGCUUGCUAUUGGUUCAUUCUGAUACUUCCCAAGUGGGAAACUCAGGGUAUCAUCUUUCUACAACGAGAAAGCAAGUCGGAAAUGUCCAAGUUUCCGAAGGGACUUGAACGCGGCAUUAGAGUGUGUGUACCACUAUUGACUCCUACUAGGUUCAAGUUGAAAGACCCUACAGCACAGGACACCUCAUAUUUCUAUGUGAAUCUGGUCGGGUCACCCAAAAAAGUUACACAUUACAGCUUUAAAGUAAUGUUCUCAAAUUAUUCAGAGAACGUUAAGAAACAACUUUAUUCUGUGGAAAUUUCAGUCUUUCAGCAUAAUGUUUUCUGCAGGUUAGUCCAUGGUUCUAUUUAAAGUCAUAUUCUCAUAACAUUAAGAAAUCUUUCCAGAAAAAACACAAGAAAACAUUAGUAACGUUCAAAGAACUCCAGCCACCCUAGUCAUAGACUGUUCUCUCUGCUACCGCACGGCAAGCGGUACCGGAGCGCCAAGUCUAGGUCCAAAAGCCUUCUAAACAGCUUCUACCCCCAAGCCAUGAGAAUAUCUACUUCUGCUAUCUAGGAAAACCAAAGUUUCAAAGUCUGGGCCUAAUAUAGUGUAUAAGAGGUCAUACAAUAAGUUUUGUAGUGAAUCCUAUGUUAUUGAUGUAAAUAAUAUUUGCUGGUCAGUGGUGUGUAAUGAGGAGCAACCAGACGCUGCACUUGACACUUGCAGUUACUAAUAAGCAUGCACUCAGUUAAGACAAGGACUGUCAAAACUGUUAAAUCACAGUGGAUUGAUGAGGAAUUGAAAAAUUGUAUGGUUGAGAGGGAUGAGGUAAAAGGAAUGGCAAAUAAGUCUGGCUGCCCAACUGAUUGGGAAAUGUACUGCAAAUUGAGAAAUCAUGUGACUAAACUGAAUAAAAAGAAAAAUAAACUACACUAUGAAACAAAGAUAAAUGACAUAAAGAAUGAUAGUAAAAAGCUUUGGAGCACCUUCAAUGAAAUGUUAGGAAAAACUGCAAGCUCAGCUCCAUCAUUCACUGAAUCAGAUGGCUCAUUCAUCACAAAACCCACUGAUAUUGUAAACUACUUUAAUGAUUUUUUUCAUUGGCAAGAUCAGCAAACUUAGGCAUGACAUGCCAGCAACAAACGCUGACACUACACAUCCAAGUAUAUCUGACCAAAUUAUUAAAGACAAGAAUUGUAAUUUUGAAUUCCGUAAAGUGAGUGUGGAAGAGGUGAAAAAAUAAUUGUUGUCUAUUGUUGUUGUCUACCGCUGUUGGCGGGGCUCCCUGCCUGUGCCAUUAAACCCCUACAACUCAUCCAGAACGCCGCAGCCCGUCUGAUGUUCAACCUUCCCAAGUUCUCUCACGUCACCCCGCUCCUCCGCACACUCCACUGACUUCCAGUUGAAGCUCGCAUCUGCUACAAGACCAUGGUGCUUGCCUACAGAGCUGUGAGGGGAACGGCACCUCCGUACCUUCAGGCUCUGAUCAGGCCCUACACCCAAACAAGGGCACUGCAUUCAUCCACCUCUGGCCUGCUCGCCUCCCUACCUCUGAGGAAGCACAGUUCCCGCUCAGCCCAGUCAAAACUGUUCGCUGCUCUGGCACCCCAAUGGUGGAACAAGCUCCCUCACGACGCCAGGACAGCGGAGUCAAUCACCACCUUCCGGAGACACCUGAAACCCCACCUCUUUAAGGAAUACCUGGGAUAGGAUACAGUAAUCCUUCUAACCCCCCCCCCCCCCUAAAAA